rnacentral:rRNA from 1 species
CAAUAGCGUAUAUUAAAGUUGUUGCGGUUAAAAAGCUCGUAGUUGGAUCUCGGCAGGCAGGGGGUGGUUCGCUCUUAGCGCUACUGCCCCAUUUGCCUGUGUGAUUGGCGGAGGUUUCGGGGUGCUCUUCGUUGAGUGACCCGGGGCGCCGUCAGGCUUACUUUGAAAAAAUUAGAGUGCUCAAAGCAGGCUUUUCACGCUUGAAUAUUCGUGCAUGGAAUAAUGGAAUAGGAACUCGUUUCUAUUUUGUUGGUUUUCGGAAAUCGAGUUAAUGAUUAAUAGGGACAAUUGGGGGCAUUAGUAUUCAGACGACAGAGGUGAAAUUCUUGGACCGUCUGAAGACUAACUACUGCGAAAGCAUUUGCCAAGAGUGUUUUCAUUAA